CCCGGAAACUUGUUCAAACUUGGUCAUUUAGAGGAAGUAAAAGUCGUAACAAGGUCUUCGUAGGUGAACCUGCGGAGGGAUCAUUACCGAGUUAGGGUCCUCACAGGCCCGACCUCCCAACCCAUUGUUUAUGAUACUCAGUGUUGCUUCGGCAGGCCUGGUCUUUGACCUGCCGGAGGGCCGUAACACGCCCCCCGGAGAGCGCCUGCCGACGGCCCCAACUUCAAAAUUCUUAACUAAACAUGUCUUUGUCUAAGUAAAGUCUUUAAUAAAAGCAAAACUUUCAACAACGGAUCUCUUGGUUCUGGCAUCGAUGAAGAACGCAGCGAAAUGCGAUAAGUAAUGCGAAUUGCAGAAUUCUCGUGAGUCAUCGAAUCUUUGAACGCACAUUGCGCCCUUUGGUAUUCCGAAGGGCAUGCCUGUUCGAGCGUCAUUUUCACCCCUCAAGCCCCCGGCUUGGUGUUGGACGGUUUGGUCCCGGGACCCCCCUGGACCCCUCCCAAAGACAAUGACGGCGGGCUGUCGCACCCCCGGUACACUGAGCAUCUUCACGGAGCACGUACCGGUCUUCAGGGACGACGGCACCCGGUCUCACACCUAUAUCUUUCAAGGUUGACCUCGGAUCAGGUAGGAAUACCCGCUGAACUUAAGCAUAUCAAUAAGCGGAGGAAAAGAAACCAACAGGGAUUGCCUCAGUAA
rnacentral:rRNA from 1 species